AUUCAAUUAAAAAGUUACAGCAUAAGAACCAGCAGGAUGGUGGUGGAGUAAGGAGCUCCUAGAGUCAGCUCCUGCUACAGGGCAGUUAGUAAAUACCCAGAGCUCUCUGGAGCUAGCCGAAGCACGUGUUUGGGGGCUCCAGGAGGCCAGAAAAGCAUCUGGCAACAUCCUUGAAGGAAUGGAAGGAGGAGAUGCCCACCUGCAGAGAAGACUCGCCCAAAUCUCCAACAACUGAUGCCCAACAUGGGGCCCAAAGAAGUGAAUCUGAAAAAAGUGAGUCUUCCAUAGCCAUAUUGGGAACCCAUGGAAAAGACCUCGUCAAGGGUCAAGUGAGACGUCCAAAGCAGAGUGACUCGAGUCUUCUUUGAAGUAAGUAACAUUUCCACGAAGUCAUCAGGGUAUAGGUAAUCAAAUAGGACGUGUGGAAGAAUAUUUGC
rnacentral:lncRNA from 1 species